rnacentral:rRNA from 1 species
UACGUAGGGUGCAAGCGUUGUCCGGAAUUAUUGGGCGUAAAGAGCUCGUAGGCGGCUUGUCGCGUCGACCGUGAAAACUUGGGGCUCAACCCCAAGCCUGCGGUCGAUACGGGCAGGCUCGAGUUCGGUAGGGGAGACUGGAAUUCCUGGUGUAGCGGUGAAAUGCGCAGAUAUCAGGAGGAACACCGAUGGCGAAGGCAGGUCUCUGGGCAGUAACUGACGCUGAGGAGCGAAAGCGUGGGGAGCGAACAGG